rnacentral:lncRNA from 10 species
GUUGCCAGGCUGGUCUCAAACUCCUGGCCUCAAGUGAUCCACUUUGGGACGCCUUUGCCUCCUGAAGUGCUGAGAUUAUAGGCAUGAGACCCCCCACUGGCCCUCACUGGCCCAUGUUUUAAUGUAGCAUAGCCUCUCUUAUCCUGAUUAAUUCAUAUUUUGUAAAAUGUGUUCUUUCGAGAGUACCUCUCAGUUAUUAGAUAAAUACCUAUAACUUAACAAUUUAAUUUUAAAGUUAAAAUGUAGGAAGAGAGUAGAAAAGGAAAGAUAAGCCGAGCUCUUCAAAGUUCAUUAUUUUUCCUGUUUGUUGACAGGCAAACGUACUGAAGUCCCAAUCAGUUACAAAGACCUAAUAGGCCACAUUAUGCGCAUCCACAAAUACAUAUAUACCUGCAAGUCUGUAGAAAAAAAAGAGUUUCCAGCCACCUCUUGUAUUGUUUUCUGUUUAAA